GGUUUGGUGGUCUAGUGGUAUGAUUCUCGCUUAGGGUAAACCCUACAGCUUAUGUAUGCGAGAGGUCCCGGGUUCAAUCCCCGGCCAAACCC